rnacentral:rRNA from 1 species
CCUACGGGUGGCAGCAGUAGGGAAUCUUUCACAAUGGGCGAAAGCCUGAUGGAGCAACGCCGCGUGCAGGAUGAAGGCCUUCGGGUUGUAAACUGCUUUUGUUAGAGAAGAUUAUGACGGUAUCUAACGAAUAAGCACCGGCUAACUCCGUGCCAGCAGCCGCGGUAAUACGGAGGGUGCAAGCGUUACUCGGAAUCACUGGGCGUAAAGAGUGCGUAGGCGGGGUAAUAAGUCAGAUGUGAAAUCCUGUAGCUUAACUACAGAACUGCAUUUGAAACUGUUACUCUGGAGUGUGGGAGAGGUAGGUGGAAUUCUUGGUGUAGGGGUAAAAUCCGUAGAGAUCAAGAGGAAUCCUCAUUGCGAAGGCGACCUGCUGGAACAGUACUGACGCUGAUGCACGAAAGCGUGGGGAGCAAACAGGAUUAGAUACCCGAGUAGUC